GGGGACUAAAGGCAGAGAUGUACAUGCACAGGAGCCCUGGGCAUGUCCGAUAAACGUGCAAAUAUAUGGGGAGAUUUGUUAGCAAUUAUUUCAGCUGUUCUGCCAACAGUGGCUUCUCUCCUGGCUCUGUGUGUUACAGAUGAGUAACGUAAUGGUUGGCUCUCACAAUUAAGAGAUAGAUAUUAUAUGGAUGUAAAAAUAUAAAGUGAUGUUAUCGUAAUAUAUCCUCCCAUUGUCCUCUUUCCCCUCCCCCUUGUAAUAACCUUGGUAGUCAGGGCAUUUGGGGAGGGCUGGCUUGUGACCAGGAGGCGAGGUGUAAAACACCUGACGUCCAAUCAAGAUGUAAGAAAGUAAUCUCCAGCAAUGGAUAGCAGAGAAAGAGUUGACUGACCAAACUUUUGGAGGGGCUAAGGCUAUCAAAGGCAGAGUAUCUCUUUUGUAGAUGAGGAUGUGGCUGCAAGUCACAGAGACUGCCAGUUCUGAACAUUUUUCCUUGUUCAGUCCUUUGUUAAGGUUUAAUAAACCUUUAAAAUGUUCAAAGUGAGAGUCGUUUCUCACAUGUGCAAUGCUGUGGGCCAUUUUCUCGAUCUGGUUUCCUUUACAUGGGUCCCAUCUGAGUGCUCACUUGGGCUACAGGCUGUAGGUGCUUGGGGCACUCUUGGAGUUGCUCUUGGAUCCCUUGAACAAUGGGGUUUGGCCCAGGAGGGCAAUUUGUGCUGCUUUGUGGCAGAGGAGAACUUCCCAGGCUAUUUUGUGUUUGCUGUGGGGAAGGUUGGUUAUUGCUUUGCAUAAAGUCACAGACCAGCAUGGAGCGUUUGCUUUGUGAUGUCAGGGCAUGGUUGCCACGUCACAGUGGUGACAUGAGAAGGUUGCCUUGGUGCACGGAAGGCCUCAGUGUCAGAGCAGUCCUAGGGCUUGCUCAGAGCAGGAGCACCCUGCGCCUUGAGGCAUUUGUCAGUGGGCAGCUGCACACUGACAGGAGCCUUGUUUGUUCUAGUGUUGGAGCACAGCGUGCAAACUUGCACAGCAGUGCUACAAUGAUUCAGCAGCUUGCUGCUGCAGUGGUUACUGUUUAUGGCGUGACUUAUUCCGGCUAUUUUCUGACUCACCUGGCACGUCACAUAAAACAUGUAUUCAGUGGAGCUGCUCCUGAGUGCCUGAGAGGACUGGAUUUUCUUCACUCAAACCACAUGAUCCACUGAGGUCUGAAGAGCUGCAACAUCCUUCUCGGAACCAAUGGCUCUGUCAAGCUGGCUGACUUUGGCCUCUUUGCUCAGCUCACUCCUGAGCAGAGUAGACAAAGCUCCGUGGCCAGCACUUCUGGGUGGAUGGCGCCUGAAGUAGUGACAGGUCAACCAUACGGCCCCAAAGUGGACAUAUGGUCUUUUGGAAUUGUGGGCAUUGAAAUGGUGGAACGAGAAGCUCCUUACUGGAAAGAAACUUCUGGCAUGUGUUGGAGCUCUGUCUCUGAAGGACAAAAAAUUUUUCAGUGGAAUGGUUGGAUGUGUGAUAAAUAUCCUUCAAAAUGGAGGUUCAAUCAUCAUAGUUUCAAUUGUACAGCAAAAGAAAACUGGAAAUUGAAAAGGAAGAGAAAAUAGAUAAGAAAAAAAGGAAAAAGAAGAGAAAAAAAUAAAAGAAAAAGAAACAGAAACAGAAAAAGAAAAAGAAAAAGAAAAAGAAAAAGAAAAAGAAAAAGAAAAAGAAAAAGAAAAAGAAAAAGAAAAAGAAAAAGAAAAAGAAAAAGAAAAAGAAAAAGAAAAAAAAAAAGAAAAAGAAAAAGAAAAGAAAAUGAAAUAGAAAAAGAAAGAAAAAGAGAUAAUGAGAAAGAAAAAGAAAGAGAAAAGAAAAAGAAAGAGAAAAAGAAAGAGAAAGAGAAAAGAAAAUAAAAAAAUGAAAGGAAAAAUCGAAAGAGAAAGAGAAAGAGAAAAAGAAAGACGAAGAGAAAAUGAAAGAGAAAGAGAAAAAGAAAAAGAAAGAAAAAGAGAAUAAGAAAAUGAAAAAGAAAAAGAAAGAGAAAGAGAAAGAGAAAAAGAAAAUGAAAAAGAAAAAUAAAGAGAAAAAGAAAAUUAAAUAGAAAAAGAAAGAGAAAUAGAAAAAGAAAAAGAAAGAGAAAAGAAAAAGCAAAAGCAAAAGCAAAAGCAAAAGCAAAAGCAAAAGCAAAAGAAAAAGAAAAAGAAAAAGCAAAAGCAACAGAAAAAGAAAAAGAAAAAGAAAAAGAAAGAAAGAAAAAGAAAAAGAAAGACAAAGAAAAUAAAAAGAAAGAGAAAGAGAAAGACAAAGUGAAAAAGAAAGAAAAAAUAAAGAGAAAAAGAAAGAGAAAGAGAAAUAGAAAAAGACAAUGGAAAAGACAAAGAAAAAGAAAGAGAAAAAGAAAUAUAAAAAGAAAGAGAAAAAGGAAAAGCAAAAGAAAUAGAAAAGAAAAAAAGAAAAAGAAAAAGAAAAAGCAAAAGCAAAAGAAAAAGAAAAAGAAAAAG